GCCGGUCCAGGAUCAUUUGUGCAAUGGGGUGAGGACUCAUUGAGAUUCGAAUAAUUUGAACAAAUAUAGUACUAUAUAAUUGAACAUAUAGUAAUUUGACUUAAGUGGGGCUUGGUUGGGGCUUACGUGGUGUUUUUUUUUUCCUAGUUACUCUAUAUGAUGUUUGACUUGUUCUUUUUCUAAUUCUGAACUAAUUUGGUACUCUAUAGUUCAACAUAUUUCUAGUCUGCAUGUAUUUUCUAGUUACUCUAUAUGAUGUUUGGCUUGUUUUUUUUUUUUUUGGUACUCUGUAGUUCAUCGAUAUUUAUACUUUGCAUGAAUUUUGUACUCUAUAUUUGAACAUAUUUAUAGUCUUAGGCUCCAUUUGGUCAUCACAUUGGUGUUUAUGAAUAUAAAUUUAUCUCAAACCAAAUGGACCUUAAGCCCUUUUUUAAAUCCGCCAAUGCAACUCCUUGCAUUGCUGGUCCCAAGCCCGGGUAAAGGAUGAGGGAGAAGGGCUUCAAGGUGAGUUUUAUCAUUUUUUUUUCCCAUUUUCUGAAGCUGUUAUAAUUUUUGAGUUUAUGAAACAUGUUAUAUUGUAGCUUAGCUUCUUUGAAAUCACAUUCAUGUUCAUGUGGUAAUUAGUCAAUACAGGUAUUCCAAUACAUUGACAUGGGUUACUGUACCAUGCCGUUUGUCAAGCUUGAAGAUCAAGUGGUAGACAUGGUAACGAUUGUUUAGUCUUUGUUGGCAUAUUAGAUUAAUCAGUAAUCAUUAGUUCUCUAUUGAAUCUAUAACCAUUCUGUGAUUCUCAUGCUUGAUUGAGUUCUAAUUUUGAAUGAAUACUUGACUGAAUUUUUUUCCAGGUCUUCUCUUCAUGGGAAGGGAUUAAAUAGAUUCUGGUCUAACAUUGAAGGUUACUAUGGAAGCUCUGCAUAUGUCUAUGCUAUAAGCCCAAUUUUCCACGUAUUUCCACCUUCUGCUGUAUUUUAAUCCUGCUACUGUGAAAAUGCUGAGCAACCUGAAGUAUGAAAGCAAUGCGUGGUUCGUGAGGUGGUUGGAUGGCAGUUUGCAAUUGCUAAUU